CAUACAAAUGGCCAACGGUCACUUUUUUCAAACCCAUGUACACUAUAAAAUUCGGAUGAUUUGUAUAUGACCGUUAUAUCCUCCCUCUCUCUCUCCAUCUCCCAUCCCCUUUCUUUCUCUAGGUGAUGGGUUACUGUAUCCCCUGUUUCGGUUCUUCUAAGCAUCGGAAAUCCCUCAACAAGACCCAUGUAGUAGUUCCCUCUGGGAAUCAAAGACACGAGACUUGUGAAACUCGACAACGCACCAAGGCCGCUAGGCAAGAAGUUGAAAAGAAGAUCGAACCCAUCGUAGAAGACCAGAAAUAAGCAUGAAGAGAAAUAGGUCAGAAUUGUCAUCACAAAAAAAGUCACAUUUGAUUUGAAUGUGCGAGCCCACGAGGAACUCCCAACCCAAGAAGUCAAGAAUCGUUCUGCGGAAUUGGAGAAUGGCGAAGAGAAAGGAAACAAGAAAGAAGCAACACAGGAUGAAAGCCAGAACCGAUCUGAUUCCAGCGUGUCGAGUGUGUUCACUUAUCCUCCAAGCCACAGAUACCACAAUUGCACAAGCAGUGACGAUGAUGGCGAAUCUGAAGCCAUGGAAUUCUUGGAAAGUGAUUCUGAUGAUAGUCAAGAAUCUGACUCGCUGUUCUCUAUCUCCAUAGAAUCAAGAAAUCAAGUUUCUGCACCUGAAAUUGACGAGAAGGAAGUCAAUAGUCCGAUACCGGUCUGCAGCUCGCGUGAGUGCGAAUUGAAGUCGAUUGGGCCGAAUCAGAACGAGAGGAGAGACUUGGGAUCUGUUUUGAACCCAGUUGAGAAUCUUACUCAAUGGAGAGCGAGCAAAUCUGUGAAACCGACGCCGUUGAAGGAUCAAGAAAAGGAGAAUAUCAAUACUGGGGACUAGCCAUAAUAGCCUUUGGCGAAGGGCCUCAUUCGAGGCCCUUCAUUCGAAGUCCUCGAAUGAGGAUUUUAAACGGCGGUUCGAACGUUCGAAGCCCGAGGUGGAUGAUGUUGCAGUUGAUACUAGCCUGUCAAGCUGGUUGGUUAAAUCCGAAACGACAUCCAUUUCCAAAAACAGCACUCCGAACAACUCUGUUGGGAAUUCGCCGGGGAGAGUAAAUUCGUCGAGGAGGUUCGAAGAUAGGCGGAUUUUAGGAGCAUUGACUGUUGAAGAGCUCAGAUUACUAUCUUCUGCAUAUAAUUGGUACUGGUGGGAGUAAUGAUGUUUUUGCCGUGGUUAUGCACUUGCGCUGUUCUAUUAACGGGAAUGUGGUUUUAUUUAUCGGUUCGAUUGUAAAAAGGGGGAAGAAAGAUUGUGAAAUUCGAUUUGUAUAAUUUCUUUUCUUUCCUGAAAGUGUACAUAUGUGGCCAACUGGAAUGAAUAGCCUAGCAAGUUCCUUUAGGACCUCAUACGACUACGAUUUGGUA